GCGAUGCCUAUUCUCCAUGCAAAUCUCCUGGUUUUUUAUUUGAAUGAGGGAUUUUGGCCACGCCUCCUGCCUUGAAAAAUGAGGCCCGUCUGCCGUGGUGGCGCUGCGGUCUUUUCAAUCGCGUCCGGAGGUGAAUUUUUUUCCGGUUGCCUCUUUUUUAAUCCUCGAGGUGUUUUUUUGUUUUGUUUUGUUUUUGCAUGGAGAUUCCUCAGUAGCCACCCCUCCAUGAAACUUGAGAAAAGAAGUAGAUUCAUGCAAUUUAGUUCAGUCUAGCAUUGAACUUGCCACGUAGCCCACACAGGUCUGGAAUUUGAAAUCAGUCGGCCUCAACCUCUCAAGUGUUGCUUACAGGUAUCACUUAAAGUUCACUAAACUAAUUGUAUUAAUCACAAGAGGUGGAGAUAAACAUCUUUGGGGGGGGGUAAUCUGUAACAGAGCAAGUACUACCAGUCAUACCCUCACACCUCAUAAACUCACGUAUCUCUGAAAUACAGAUAAUAAUUACUGUUCCACCAAACAAUUACUGACUCAGACUGUAGAAAAGAUCCUAAAUAUGCUUUUUGUAUAUCAGUAAGGGCCAGGAAAAAAAUGGGUGGGAAAUUUAAUCCCUUAAACUUAAUUUCUCCCUUAAAGUAUUUAUUCAAUAGUAAUUUAAGCAAUCACUGUGUUCCAAAACUUAAGUAGCUGUCAGGGCUGAGGAAAUCUAUACUCCCAUAGGCAGAUGUGGCUCAACUCCCAGCGGCACUCAGGGAGGAUGAGGGAGAUCUUGAGAGAACAAGGACAACCUGGGGCCAUGGGCUCCCAGAUCAUCUGGAGCUUGAGACUCUUCUCUCCAAAGAAGCUCACAGCUUUAAUUACUGUCCUGUACUUGACUCUUCAACAAAGGACAUUAAACAGGCAAACCCAAGGGAUUUAAAAUUGAAGAAGCAACCCACUGGGGACAUGAAAUAUGGUACAGUAUCCAGAAUCUUUCCAGUGCCAGCCCAUCCACAAGCUAGGCAAGGGCUCUGCUAUUAGGUGAUAGCAUCAACCCAGAAUUGCCAGAACCAUGAGAUGAACACAUCACCCCCCUCCUCCCAAAUUCUGUUCAUACCCUGUAAUCCAUAUGGCUUAAAUGUGGUGGGAUUUGUGAUCCCAGCACUCCCGAAGGCAAGGGCAUGAAAAUCCAUGACUUCAAAGCCAGCCUGGUUUACAGAGCAAGUUCUAGGAUACCCAGGGCUACAUAGAGAAACCAUGUUUCAAAAAAAAAAAAAAAAAAGAGAGAGAGAGAGAAAGGGAAAGGUGUAAUUAAGACGUAAUUAAGAUCCUAGAUUGAUUUAGAGUUGACAGGGAGAAUAUCUUGAAGUAGACUUGACUUAAUCUAACAAGAGACCUUAAAAAGAGAGACACCCAGCUAGUGUGAGUUUAAGCCAGCCUGGUCUACAGAGUGAGUUCUAAGACAGCCUUGAUUACACAGAGAAACUCUGACUCANAACAAAUGAAAAGGAAAGAGGAGGAAGGAAAGAAAGAGGAAAAGAAAGAAAACAUGAGCUCCCAUGUUCCUGCUCUAGCCCCAGGAUUCCUGUGACAAACCUGGACAUGUUGAUUGGGGCGGAUUGGAAAGACUUUGGAAUAGAGCCUCUGAGCGAUGAGAAACCAGUGAGCUGUUAUGGAGAAGCUAGAGAAAUAAGAAUGGGGCGAGCAGUGCAGAUGAUGGAGGCCUCGCUUGUAAAGUUUCUUCAGAGGGAAGCAGAGACUAUCAGGCCAUUCGUGUGAAAUAUCUGUGGUGUUCGGUGAGCUGGAGCUGAAGAACCGUCUGGGAUUAAGAAGAGACCAGCAUCAUUGAGGUGAAAUCUUUUGGGAAGUGUUUCCUUACUGUUUCAGAGGUGACCAAGAUUGUGCUGCCUCAUGCUGUCAGCCGAACUUGGUAGUUUAAAAGUCACCCAGGUGAGCCUUUAUGUAGGUCUGGGCGAAUCAAACGUAGGUUCUCCAGAAGAGCAAACAGUUUUAAACAACUGGGACAACCAGUGAACCAUCUUUCCCUACAUGUGCCUACUUUACUUCUGCUUAGUGAUGGAUCUUCUGAGACCAGAUCAUGUGCACUAGCCUACCCUGUAUAACAUCAAAAUUCAUGGUUUCAGCAAGAUUGGAUUUCACUGGUGGAGCCCAAGUAGCUCCAAGAAAACCUGGCCCUGCAGAUGCAGGCCAGCUAUGGGGUGAAGGUGCCUCUAAGACUGACUUCUGUGGGCCUCAGUCUUUCCCUGAGAGGAGAAGAGGCAGUGCUGGUCCAGAUGAGUGCAAAGAGAGGGGAAAAAGACAAACCAACCUUAUCAAAAACUCAACAGCCUCAGCACCUUGAACUGCUUACAUCUGAACAAAAAGAGCUUGAGCAAGAAACCACAGAAGUCGUGGGACAAGUCCUGUGGUCUGAAUAUAGAUUUCUGGUCUGCAGGAAGCCCCGAGGCUCUGGGUUCUUCCUGGGCUUCGGCAGGAUAGUAGGCUACAGGGUCAGUCUUGGCUGUUUCACUGGGUGAUUGUAUAAAAAGAGGAAGUGAACAACCGAAAAGAAGUCUACAGGGGAUUUGUAAAUUUCCAGGGUUUUUUUUCUUUGUGUGUGUGGAGGGGUGAUGUUUAAAUAAUAAAUGUAUGUUCUGAGCCUGGAGCACACACAAAUGCCUCAGUACCUAAAACUGAUUAAGAGGGGCUUACUUUUUAGUUUUUCAAUUGUACUGUUAUGACCAAUUUUAUGAAGGCUUCCACUACAUUUUCUCAUUUGUGGUUUUAGUUUCAGUGUGUGUUUGCUUAUGUCCUUAAUCUGCUUUGAAGGUAUUUUGUUUUAUUUUCUACCAUUAAGUCAUGUGCCCAGAACUCUCUUACUUUCUAUUAUUUUUAUUUACUUGACCUUUGUUUUUUUCUUUUUAAAUUUUUUGCCACAAGGCCUAAAAACUAUCUAAGACGGCUUUAACUCAGUGAGGCCCAGACAGCUUUGGAUUUGAAAUCCCCAGCCUCCUGGGUGUCUGGGAUUGUAAGCAUGGGCCAGCAGUCCUGGUGAGUUGGAUUUUUUUUGUACAUAGUAUAAGGAGUUUGAACCGUGUACUCUGCUUCUAGAUCCCAGUUUUCCAUGGCUUGUAAUAGAACUAUAUUGCCACUUUCCACAGUGAGCUGCCAUUUUAUUACUGACACUGUCACUAUUCUUUUAUAUUUAGACAGAUCAGAGAACAAAUGUAAAAUCUCAUCAUCACGACUCAGGACCCACUUCCUGAACCACUGAAAGGUUUAAAUAAAGUUAACCAUAGGUCAAAAGGUGGAGCAAGAAACCAGUUGAUGGAGUGAACGUAGGAAAAAAAGUAAAGAGGAGUCAGGACGAUGAAGAGAGAGAUGCACAGGAAAUGAAAGGGAAGGACGUGCAGUUUGAGGGAUUUUUGAGACAGAGAACUGCCUUUCGGGAUGUUGGCUGAGGAAGAAGGUCAGGUAGGUGUUUUCUCUCAGCUAGCAGGUUUUCACCCCAGCAUCUGGCUCUCAAGUCUCCAUUGGUAAAUCGAAUGAUUGAGACUUUGUUAACAGCAACACCCCAUAAAAUUUAUGUUCUCUACUAGCACAUUAUUGUGACUUAAUUAUCAGCACCAUUCAACAUCUGCCCUGCUGCUCUGUCAUACUUGCUGUUAUAGUUUGGGUUUCUCUUGCUGUGGUCAAACACUAUGGUCAAAAACAACUUGGGGAAGAAAGUUUCUUUCAGCUUACAGCUCUACAUUACUGUCCAUCCCUGAGGGAAGGCAGGGCCAGAACCUGGAUGGAGGAGCUGAUGAAGAGGCUAUAGAGAAUGCUACUCACUGUCUUGUUCUCCACAGCUGGCUGGCUCAACCUGCCUGAUUUCUUCUAGCACCUCGGACUACCAGGCCAGGGGUGGCCCAGCCCGCCAUGAGCUGGGCUCUCCCUCAUCAAUCAAGAAGAUGUUCCACAGGCCAAUAUGGUGGGCAUUUCGUCACUUGAAGUUCCCUUUUUACAAGUGUUCUGACUUGUGUCAAGUUGACAUAAAAUUAGUCAGCACACCACUCAAUGUGUUCUUGUAAACAUUAGGUAUUCGCCCCGUGUGGCCACACAUUGUAAUCCCAGCACUCAGGAGGCUCCAGCAAGAACAAGCCCAAGAUCCUGCGGACCUAAUUAAUGUAAUGUGUCUUGACAAUGGAUAUCUGUUUAUGAUAUCAAAAUACCUAGGAUACCUACAAUGCUUGUGGUCUGCCCUCCCCUGACCCCGGCCUAUACCAUCUUCAGUCUCCACAGCAGCUGAAGCCACCAUGUGCCAUCGGGGCCAGUCCUUCCUGUCAACACCUGAACGAUAGACUCAUAAAUAUAGACUCUGCCUAUAUCACUUCAACACUGUCUUACUGCACCUAGGAACUAAGUUAUGAUUUCCACAUUUUUCGGUCACUUUGUACCUUUCUAGUAUUGAAAAAACUCCUCUAAAUACCUGUAUUUACUAUUGAUUGGGGGUAUUUUGUGAAGUUGCAGUCUUGAGUUGUAAUUUUUUUUCCAGAAAAGAAUACAAAUCACUUCUUGUCUGUAAAAAGAUAUAAAACCUCUUAAAUUUUCUCGCAAACCUAGCAGAUACAUCAUUGUUGACUUGAAACAAGGUCUCUUGUAGCCCUGAUUGGCCUAAGACUUCCCAUGUAGCCCAGGCUGGUCUAGAGCUGAUUGUCCAGUCUCCACCUCCUAAAAGUGCUUUCAGUUCCCGAUAUACACUACCAUGCUCCUUGCAAAUGUGUUUCUGUGUGCAUUUCGGCUGGAUUUGUUCUUAUAAUUCUUUAGAUCAACUGACAUCAGCUCACUAAUGAAUCAGAACAAAUGCCAUUGGCACAUGCUCAUUCUAGACUUGUAAGAGAGCUGUGCUUUUGAAAGUUGUAUAUGUUUUGGAGAUGUGACUCAUCACUUAAGAAGAC
rnacentral:sRNA from 1 species